rnacentral:lncRNA from 1 species
UUGUGACAUUAUUUUAAGAAUUAUUAUUGGGGAAACUUCAAAUACCCCGUGGUUUCGCAUUCUUUCACUUUAGUACCCUAUAGUUUAAAGUGUAUCAAAUUAGUGUCAUGUGGUUUCGCACAUUCACUUUUGUAUCUUAUGGUUUUAAGUAUAUCGAGUUAGUAUCAUGUGGUUUUGCACUUUCUCAAUUUAGUAUCAUGUGGUUUAAUAUUUUGUUAAAUUAUAUACUCCGAAAUAGAUAAUAAAAAGAGAAAAUUGAAACCACAGGGUACUAACUUGAUACAAAAAUAAAAUCACAAGAUACUAACUUGAUACACUUGAAACUACAUGGUACUAAAGUGAGAAAUUGCGAAACAAUAUUUGAAGUUUCCCAUCAUUAUGUGCAUAAGUAUCCUCUAUGCUAUCGAAAACAUAGAGGAUCUGGUGCUUUCGAUUUUUUGACCCUUAGAUCAACCUCUUUGAUCAUUUCUAAUCAUUGGAUUAAUAUUAUUAAUCAAUGGGGACUACUCUCAACCCUAAGGGAACCGCUAUCAUCCCAACCGUAGAAUUUGCUAAAAAAUCGGAAGCACUAACUAUUUUAUGCUUCCGAUAGCAUAGUAACUCUACACUAUA